AUUGAACGCUAGCGGGAUGCUUUACACAUGCAAGUCGAACGAGUGGCGGACGGGUGAGUAAUAUAUCGGAAGUGCCCAGUAGCGGGGGAUAACUACUGGAAACGGUAGCUAAUACCGCAUACUAUCGGAUAACCCAUAGGGGAUUAGCUAGUUGGUGAGGUAAUGGCUCACCUAGGCGACGAUCCCUAGCUGGACUGAGAGGAUGAUCAGCCGCACUGGGACUGAGACACGGCCCAGCCUCCGACGGAGGACGCAGGGGGGAAUAGUGCACAAGGGGCGCAAGCCUGAUGCAGCCAUGCCGCGAGUAUGAAGAAGGCCUUAGGGUUGUAAAGUACUUUCAGUCGGGAGGCGGUACCGACAGAAGAAGCACCGGCUAACUCCGUGCCAGCAGCCGCGGUAAUAC
rnacentral:rRNA from 1 species